GGUUAAGUUAAUAAGGGCGCAU
rnacentral:rRNA from 1 species